GACAGAUUGUAUCACCUGCACUUGUGGGUCUGAGAGGCGGAAGACAGUAUCUCAGUGAAGUGUAAUCUGCAGCUCUCUUACGGUGAGUGAGACGAUUUUUCAAGCGUUUGAGAGCUACUUGCCCUUCUGAAUUUCUCCCCCUUUCUGACAGCCUUUCUAAUCUACAGAAUAAAAGCUGUGUCUCACCUGGAGCAUUAAAGUAAAACUAACAGAAAAUGUUCAACAAGUGAUCGCUGCUGUUACUAGCCACUACCGCUGCCGCUGCGGAGUUCCCUUGGAGACCAUUGUAACCAGGCAAGGAUUCCUAGUAUCACGGAUGAGAACAAGAAGCUAGAAGCUGCAAGCAAGAAGCUAGAAGGAUCUUUGGUUCCAAGUCAUUUCUAUUGGAAGGGGGGAAGAAGUGUGGAUGGGAAUCAGUUUUGUUGUUUUUCUUUCUCUUAAUAGUGACUAUGAUUUUGCUUUUCCACAAGAACCUCCAUACAGAUGGAAAGAGAAAACCUCCUACAUGCCAUUGACGAUUCCUCACCCAUCACCUUGUGAAAUGCCAGUGGUAGUUUUGUAUGUGGGGUCCUUCUCCUAAUCUAUCAACCUUCACUGUGCGUGUAUUCCUUGUAUUCUUUCUGCUGACCCUUCCUGCCAGGGACUGACCUUGAAUUUCUGUUUUGCAAGGCUUCCUUUGUGGAAGAAGGCAUGGUCACCACGCAGCAGGGACCACAGAACUCACUGAAGGAGACUGAGCUAAUAUCUUGGAGGUCUUCCUGGAGGCACAGGCCAAGGUGAUGCCUGCCCAGAACCUUACAUAU